GGCUCGUUGGUCUAGGGGUAUGAUUCUCGCUUCGCGUGCGCGAGGUCCCGGGUUCAAUUCCCGGAGGAGCCC
rnacentral:tRNA from 1 species